UACGGGGGGGGCAAGCGUUGUUCGGAAUUACUGGGCGUAAAGGGUUUGUAGGUGGCCAACUAAGUCAGACGUGAAAUCCCUCAGCUUAACCGGGGAACUGCGUCUGAUACUGGAUGGCUUGAGUUUGGGAGAGGGAUGCGGAAUUCCAGGUGUAGCGGUGAAAUGCGUAGAUAUCUGGAGGAACACCGGUGGCGAAGGCGGCAUCCUGGACCAACACUGACGCUGAGUGAGCGAAAGCCAGGGGAGCAAACGGG
rnacentral:rRNA from 1 species